GAUGAACGCUGACAGAAUGCUUAACACAUGCAAGUCUUUGGCGAAGCUGUGCUUGCACAGCCUAGCCAAGGCGGACGGGUGAGUAACGCGUAAGGAACUUGCCCUGCAGUCAGGGAUAACAGACGGAAACGACUGAUAAGACCUGGUAAAGUCAGGCGGACUCAUGUCCAGCCUGAUGAAAAGAGAUGCUGCAGGAGAGCCUUGCGUCCUAUUAGCUUGUUGGUGGGGUAACGGCCCACCAAGGCGAUGAUAGGUAGCCGGCCUGAGAGGGUGGACGGCCACAAGGGGACUGAGAUACGGCCCUUACUCCUACGGGAGGCAGCAGUGGGGAAUAUUGGACAAUGGGGGCAACCCUGAUCCAGCAAUGCUGUGGGCACGAUGAAGGUUUUCGGAUUGUAAAGUGCUUUCAGCAGGGAAGAAAAAAUGACGGUACCUGCAGAAGAAGCGACGGCUAAAUACGUG
rnacentral:rRNA from 1 species